CAGCGUCAAUAUCGAUCCAUGGCAGUCGUCUGCUCCGAAAUUGAGUAAGAAUCGAUUCUACCACAUCGAUAUUUACCGAUUUUUAUGCAACCAACUGCUCGUCGAAACCAAAAGUUGGUUCGUCCAGCCAUAUCUUCCCGGCAACGCCCGUCAGUCAACUUCCGUCCUCAAUGACUUUGAUACUUAUGGCAUAUUUCAGCGAAUGCCAUUCCUAUUUUACUAAUCCGAAUCAAGCUGUAUCACCAACAAACAUAAUGCAAAGCCUACCUGAUCCAGGUACACCCGUGUUUAUCUCCAUCUGCCAUUGCAGUCAGUGGUACUAAUAUUAAGCGUGGACAAAAAGGACAAAAUCCUUGAUGUUCCUUUCAGUCUGUAGUUUCUCUUAUAUCAGGUUGUUGAACAGGGAACAAAACGUAAGACAACGCCAAUUGGUAAACAACGUCUCUUAAACCUUCUUGCAUUCAAUUUUCUAUCACUUAAUCAUGGAAAACACUCAAUUUUGGAACAUUUAAAUAAAUUGCCAUUAAAAAGCA